rnacentral:rRNA from 1 species
AACACAUGCAAGUCGAACGGUGAAAGGGGAGCUUGCUCCUCUGGAUCAGUGGCGAACGGGUGAGUAACACGUGAGUAACCUGCCCUUGACUCUGGGAUAAGCGUUGGAAACGACGUCUAAUACCGGAUACGAGCUUCAGCCGCAUGGCUAGGAGCUGGAAAGAACUUCGGUCAAGGAUGGACUCGCGGCCUAUCAGCUAGUUGGUGAGGUAACGGCCCACCAAGGCGACGACGGGUAGCCGGCCUGAGAGGGUGACCGGCCACACUGGGACUGAGACACGGCCCAGACUCCUACGGGAGGCAGCAGUGGGGAAUAUUGCACAAUGGGCGCAAGCCUGAUGCAGCAACGCCGCGUGAGGGACGACGGCCUUCGGGUUGUAAACCUCUUUUAGUAGGGAAGAAGCGAAAGUGACGGUACCUGCAGAAAAAGCACC